rnacentral:rRNA from 1 species
AGUGAACGCUGGCGGUAGGCCUAACACAUGCAAGUCGAACGGCAGCACAGUAAGAGCUUGCUCUUACGGGUGGCGAGUGGCGGACGGGUGAGGAAUACAUCGGAAUCUACUUUUUCGUGGGGGUUAACGUAGGGAAACUUACGCUAAUACCGCAUACGCCCUACGGGUGAAAGCAGGGGAUCUUCUGACCUUGCCCGAUUGAAUGAGCCGAUGUCGGAUUAGCUAGUUGGCGGGGUAAAGGCCCACCAAGGCGACGAUCCGUAGCUGGUCUGAGAGGAUGAUCAGCCACACUGGAACUGAGACACGGUCCAGACGCCUAAGGGAGGCAGCAGUGGGGAAUAGUGGACAAUGGGCGCAAGCCUGAUCCAGCCAUACCGCGUGGGUGAAGAAGGCCUUCGGGUUGUAAAGCCCUUUUGUUGGGAAAGAAAAGCAGCAGGUUAAUACCCCGCUGUUCUGACGGUAACCAAAGAAUAAGCACCGGCUAACUUCGUG